rnacentral:rRNA from 1 species
GACGAACGCUGGCGGCGUGCCUAAUACAUGCAAGUAGGACGAAGUUGCGAACGGGUGAGUAACGCGUACAUAACUGCCUGGUAGCGGGGGGUAACUAUUGGAAACGAUGGCACAUACCGCAUACUAACAGAUGGACCUGCGUUGUAUUAGCUAGUUGGUGGGGUAACGGCCCACCAAGGCAACGAUACAUAGCCGGCCUGAGAGGGUGAUCGGCCAAACUGGGACUGGGGAACGGCCCAGACUCCUACGGGAGGCAGCAGUAGGGAAUCUUCGGCAAUGGACGGAAGUCUGACCGAGCAACGCCGCGGGAGUGAAGAAGGUUUUCGGAGCGGAAAGCUCUGGUGUAAGAGAAGCGGUAUCUUACCAGAAAGGGACGGCUAACUACGUGCCAGCAGCCGCGGUAAUUC